rnacentral:lncRNA from 1 species
UCUGCUGCCAGUGACAACCAGCCCCAGGGACAGCAGAGGGUUCCAAAUUCCUGGCCUCCAAUUUUGCUUCGGAACAUUCUCUGGCCAAAACAAACGUGGGGACCCCAUGGCGGAGUCUUGGCACAGGAAAGAAGUCUGAGAUGUCAUCCAGUGUGACCUAGGCCUUCCAGGCAAAGCCACUCCAAAGCCAUUCCCGACAGAUGCUAAUUAGAUGAGCAGUUUUAAAUUAAAUAAUGGGGAUGGGCAGGGCAAAGGAUGCCAAGGAUAAUUGGAACAGAAAUGCUGUCCAGAGAAAAUAGUGCUAAAGACCAGAAUUACUGAAGUGCACACCAAGGAAGCCGGGACACAGAUCGAGACUUGUUUCUACCCCAGGAUCUGAGAGUGGGAAAUAGCUCUGGAUCCUCACACAGCUAGGGAUACUUGUAUCAACCCCUGUCACUGAGCUGGAGGUCAGCAGAGCCCUGGGGACACAGAACUCUCCAUGGACAGAAGGCAGGAAGAAUGGCUGCUGGCCCAAAGGGGGCUUGGGUCCCUGGGUCCAAAGAUGCCAUCAGGCCUUUGCUGCCACAGGCCUCACAUCAGCAAAGCAGAAGUCACAGGGCCAGGGCCAGAGCCAGCAGCAAGCAGACCGUCACCCUAGGGAUCGAACUCAGGACCUUGAGCUUGCGAGGCAGGCGCCAGAACCACUGAGCUAAAUCCCCGGGCCUCUCCGGUGUAAAAUGAAGAUGUGAACAGCAGUCACUGAUAGGGCAUGGGAGGGACUGUGUGUAACACAUUCAUGUUCAGAGGAAUAUGGAGUCUGUGUACGUGUGUGCAUGUGUGCCUUUAGAACAGUUUCCAACAAGUAGUAAGUGCUUCACAAAUAUUGCCUGCUCUGAUUACACUCAGUGUGAUCAUAACAAUCUGC